GUUUUUAUUGGAGAAAAGUGCACAGCAAUGUACAUACAAUGUCUUGGUGAUAGGUUCUGCUACAACAUCUCCCACAACCCUUUCUAAGUGAACAGCCACAUGUUCACUUUUAUAAAUAAUGCUACAAAUAAUCUGAUGCCCUCCUAACAUUCUUGUAGCCUUAGAACCACUGUUCCACGGCAUUGAUGAAGUGUUUGAAAAAGGUUCUGAUGAAGUGUUUGAAAAAGCUUCAUGGUACAUUGGUCCCUGGUCAGUAGACUAAAGAAAGUAAGUCCCUGUCUAAAAAAGGCAGAUUUUCUUUGGGACAUGUAUUAACAGUCUGCAUUCAAGUUAGGUCUGAAUAUUAAACAUGAACAUCUAUGUCAAUGCCUGAGGUUAUACUAAAACACAAUGGUCCUUCUCUGAGCCAGGUAGUGUAGGCUACUCAAAUCUACAUUUCAUUCAUUAAAGCUACACCAUUCAUUAAUGGUUUAAGACUGAAUUUAAGGCUUAAGGCUGAUUAGAAAGACCUUUCUGUUCUUUAAAUUACAUCCUCAAUUUCAGCCUGCUAUUUUUCCAGGUGUCCUAACUCCAGACUCUGUUAAAGUCUUUAAAUCAAACCAAAUACAAAAGUGAAGCUGCAUAAAGACGGAGCAGCUCAUAAUCAGCACCUGUCAUGGUUGAAGUGACAAACUUAGCAAGCGAGUCAUCGCUACACUAAACACUUGCAGAGCAUCUCUCUCAUUCACUGUCCCCAAAAUGCAGCAAAGCUGACCUUCAGUUUGGUUCAGUUCCAAAACAGGCACCGAAACUGAACCACCGAGCAGUACAGGUGGAGAUAUCUACAAACUAUGCAGGAGCGGUGUGUUUGACAGUGUGUCACAAGUUAGUGUGCUUCUCUCCUCUGUGAAGGCAGCGUCCUCCGUUCUCCAAGCUAGCGCUGGGAGAAUUCAACAAAGCAUCUCUCACAACCCCUGCCCUGAUUUCCUGUUCAGAACAAAUGUGUGUUUUUCAGAAACAUUCUGGAGGGAAUGUAACGGUACAAAAGUCAUUUUAAAUUUAGGGACUAUAACAUGAUGUAAUAUGUAUCAUAUAUUUUCCAUUGGAACUGGUGACAGACUAACCGUUUUUUCUUGCACUUGUAGUAAAAUAUGACCGAUAGUAUCACCAGGAUGGGAAGGCACCUCCAGGUGUAGCGGACUGCUAUGUCCUCUGAGGUCUCAAUGUCCUCUGUAAAGAAACACCAGCUUAGAAAACAUACUGUCCACACAGAGACUCAAACACUCAAACACCACACAGUUCUGACAGACUACACAUCACAUCCGAUGUGAUUCGUCACAUGCUCUGACAGCAACAGGUGUCUCUGGGAUGCUCAUUUACUGGCCUCGUUCCAGGGCCUUCAGAAAGUAUUCGGACCCCUUCACUUUCUCCUCAUUUUGUUGUAUUAUAGACUUAACCUAAAAUAUAUACAUUUUAUUUUUGCAUACAUUUUACAUUCAAUACUGACAAUGACAAAACAAAAACACGUUUUCAUACAUUUUGAAAAAAAAAAAC
ensembl:lncRNA